rnacentral:rRNA from 1 species
CCUACGGGUGGCUGCAGUGAGGAAUAUUGGUCAAUGGACGGAAGGCUGAACCAGCCAUGCCGCGUGCAGGAAGACGGCUCUAGGAGUUGUAAACUGCUUUUGUACAAGGGUAAACCUGAAUACGUGUAUUCAGCUGAAAGUACUGUACGAAUAAGGAUCGGCUAACUCCGUGCCAGCAGCCGCGGUAAUACGGAGGAUCCAAGCGUUAUCCGGAUUGAUUGGGUUUAAAGGGUGCGUAGGCGGAUUGCUAAGUUAGAGGUGAAAUGUCCGAGCUUAACUCGGGAACUGCCUCUAAUACUGUUGAUCUAGAGGGUAGGUGCGGGAGGCGGAAUGUAUGGUGUAGCGGUGAAAUGCUUAGAGAUCAUGAAGAACACCGAUUGCGAAGGCAGCUUACCAGUCUAUAUCUGACGUUGAGGCACGAAAGCGUGGGGAGCAAACAGGAUUAGAUACCCUUGUAGUC